AUUGAACGCUGGCGGCAUGCCUUACACAUGCAAGUCGAACGGUAACAGGUCUUCGGAUGCUGACGAGUGGCGAACGGGUGAGUAAUAUAUCGGAACGUGCCCAGUCGUGGGGGAUAACGCAGCGAAAGCUGUGCUAAUACCGCAUACGAUCUAUGGAUGAAAGCGGGGGAUCGCAAGACCUCGCGCGAUUGGAGCGGCCGAUAUCAGAUUAGGUAGUUGGUGGGGUAAAGGCCCACCAAGCCAACGAUCUGUAGCUGGUCUGAGAGGACGACCAGCCACACUGGAACUGAGACACGGUCCAGACUCCUACGGGAGGCAGCAGUGGGGAAUUUUGGACAAUGGGCGCAAGCCUGAUCCAGCAAUGCCGCGUGCAGGAUGAAGGCCUUCGGGUUGUAAACUGCUUUUGUACGGAACGAAAAGGCUCUGGUUAAUACCUGGGCUCAUGACGGUACCGUAAGAAUAAGCACCGGCUAACUACGUGCC
rnacentral:rRNA from 1 species